UCUAUUGUUUAGUAUAUUGGCAAGGUCUGAAGGACAGGACGGGAGCCCCUGGGGCUGGUGUUCACUCACUCCGUUCUUCAUUUAACGUAUUCACACCAUGUGUAUGAGCAUUCAGCUUGGUGGGUGGAGCAGCUCCGCAUGACUUGCUGGAAAUAAUUCGGAGCACUUAUAACCGGGCUUGGGAACCCAAGCCAAGUGUUCUUGAGUACAUCCGUAUGGGAAACAAAAGUUUUGUUUUGUCCUCAUCAUUCCCUCACCCACUUCAGAUGGGGAAAUAUUUGGGAAACGGAAGUGCAUAUCAUAUUCUGCCUGUGCUACCAACGUUCUAAUGGUGUUUACCUGAAAUGUUUCUAUCGUUCCCGAACUUUCAGUGCUUCUGUUGGUGAUUGGCGAGGAACAGAGUGCACUCUCCUGAACUGAAAUCUAAUGAAUGCCACAAAGGGAAGAUAAACUGGAGACACUUGAAAAAAGAAAAAGAAAAGAAAACUCACUUCAAGAAACCGAAGCUUUCCGCUCGCCCCCCUCUUCUCCCCUCACUCGCAGCCAACUAAGCUCCCCACACAUUCUGAUCGUCUCCCUGCACGGUGUCUGUGGUGGUGACAACUGAUUCAUGUGUUCAUUUGCAUAUCCCCCGGUGCCAGCAGCAGAAUACAGAACGGGCCUCCUGUGCCGGCAGCCAACACAGCACUGGCAAAUCAGGGAGCUGUCAGAAACAGCUGUCCAUUAACGGAGUUUGUGGAAACAACCAGGAGCUGUUUGAAAAUGCUAGGUGGUAGAAUUUAAUUGGAGUAGCAACUGUUCAAAAUUAAGAUUAAAAGGACCAGUCAGUCAACGUGGAUUUCGUGACACCUUAAAAAUAACAUUUCAGGUUUGAUUAAUGCUGCACGAAGUUUCUCUCCUUCGCUGAUAGGGCCUGUGUGCUGAUAGUUGAUUCAGUGAAUCUAUCUAGCAGUGAGAGCUCAUGGGCUCCAAAGGUCAGAUAUCUUAUUCUCUACGCUGAAACCCUUGUUGCUUUAAGGAAAGAGGAUUUUAAUAGGAAUCACAUGCACGUUGACUACGGGGAGCCAAGCGGUGGUGGAAGAAGCGAAGUUGGCAGUUUUGGAGACGGACGUCUUUUUAUCCACAGUGGGACAAAAAUGAAGGUUAUUGAAAAGAAUCAUGCUUGGUGGAAGAAGUAAUUACAUUUUUUUCAAAUCUCAGAGGAAUAAUGCUUUUAUAUUUCCUGAGAUGACCCAAUUUGCACUACGAUAUGCUCCCUUAAAUGAGAAAAACAACGAUGGCCCAUAGAUGAUCUGAAGACAGAAUGAAUUGGAACACUUGUGCUUUGAAGAAAAGUGAAGUUUUUGUACAGUUAAGGUCUCCAGCCUGCUGAAUACAGAUCUUGGACUUCUCAGCCUCCACAAUCAGAUGCAGGAGUGAUACUGAGGAACUGAGGACUAGUUCCAAGGGUCUUCCUAAGGGGCCUGGAAGAAGUCACAUCUACAAGCCAGAACUUAUGUAUCUUUCUGCUGACCCAAAAUUUUUAAAUACAACUUCUCUUCCUGAACCAACUGCAAAUCAGAAAAUCUUAGAAAAGCCUCUGCUUCAAGAUAUCCCAUCUUUUUAAAUCAAAGCAAUGAAUAAGUUCCAUAUGAUCUAUGACUUUGCCUGUGACUUCUGCUUUCUUGAAAUAUACCCAUUUCUUUAAAGACACUUGCUUGAAAGCCAUCAGGAAGAUGAGUCUGAUGCAUGCACUCCCACAUUCUCCAUGCCAGGUACCCUGCAAAUAAAUGCCCUCCAUUCUGCAGUGGCAAACCUCAGUGUGAAUAUUUGGCCACUGUGUGAAUAUUAACCCACUGUACGAGUGGACUCACUAUUGUUUGGUAACAAAACCCAUGGGGGAAUAUAAAAAGCUCUAACAUACAGAUUAUUCGUGUUCCAGGAGACGAAAAAAACAAGUAGAAAAAAACAUUUUAGGAAGUGAUGACCAAAAAUUUCUCAAAGCCAGAGUUUCAUAAGCUCAUCAUCCUCAUAUAGGGUGCAUACAAAUAAUACCAUACAUUUUCUCAUAAGCAUUAGACUGCUGAAAACCAACGAAAAAGACGGACUCCUAAACCUGGCUGACAGAAAUGUCAUAAUGUUUAGAAAAAAAGACAAUUUGUCAUGGCUCUCUAAUAGAAAAAUUGGAGGCCUGAAAAUUGUGAAAUACUGUCUUAAAAGUUCUAGGAGAAAAAAUAUAUGUACACACACAUGUAUAUUUAUACACACAUAUAUCAACCCAGAAAUGUACAGGCAGUGAAAAUAUUUUUUAAGAGUAAAAGAAAAAUAAAUACACUUCCAAAUCAAAGAAGAGUAAAAGAUUAGUCAGAAGCAGAAUUAUGCUAUAAAAAAGUAAAGAUCUUCAGGCAGAAGGGAAAUGAUGCCAGAUACAAAACCGCGUAUUUAGAAUUGAAUAAAAAAGUCUGGAAAUGUGUAAAUGGAAAUGAUAAAUACUCAAGAUGUGAGGAAUCAACGAAGAUUUUUGAGUAUAAGUCUGAAUUAUUCGUGAGCUUGUUAUUCAUUUACUAAUCUGUGAAAUGUUCCAAGAAAAUACAAAAAACAUUUAAAAGAUAAUAUUAUAUAGCUAUGAUAUGGUAAAAUGUAUAUUUGUUCUUUUACCCUGUUUCUGGCAAUACAAUUUUUAAAACUCCUUAGAA